ACUAAAAAAUGAACUAUAUAUAAAUAAAAUAAAUUAAUUAUUGGAAAAAAAUACUAAUCAUAAAUUAUAUUGAAGGCAGAUUUUUAUUUUUAGAAUGUGUCUCACACAAAUACAGAAUAAUCUUAAAUUGAUGAGAUUUUUCUUUUAAAAAAUAAAAUAAAAUAUUUUUUUGGGUAAAAUCAAAGCAUCAAAUAUAAAACCUGUGCAAAUAGAACAUACUAGUACAAUAAGUUUAUGGGCCGAAUAUAAUUGAAUGGGCCUACCGAAAUGUGUUUAAUUUGAACAUACGAAGAUCAUAAGAACAUAACUAUCUUUUUCUCUGCAAGUGUUUUGAGCUAUUACCGAAAUGCUGAGAGGGUUUAAGCGCAAUUUAAAAACGUCUGGGCUAAAUGUAGUAAAAGUUAAAUCUUGGGGUGGAAAGUAUAAGAAAUUGAAAGUUUGUAAGGGGAAAAAGAAAAAAAAAAGUGGACCUGUCAGACUACCGUGCGACCACCCUAGCAAGGGUCGAGACCAGACUAGGUAGCGAUCCUCUACAGUGCGGAGAGCCCGAAGACAAUCUUAACCGUUAAUCACACUCAGAUCGCACAGCCAUUAUUCAUCAACCAGGGUUAUAGGGCAUGUCUCCUUAGAAAUCAAGGACACAGAGGUACUUCCUAUAGAACAGAUCCUGUUCAAGUAAGGUCGUGACCACUCGUGCUUUCUAGACAUAUAUAAAGUAGCUAUAUAUUCUCCGUGUCUUCGAUGUGGGACUUUAGUUCCCAACUUACUACCUCCUCCUGUGACACGUGUAACUAAAUUAAAAUGGUAACGCAAAAAACAUCUUGUACCAAAACCAAUUAUAUAUGGUUUACGAUUGAACCGAUUUUAAUCAAUGCUUUUAGCCUUUUACACUAAUAACUAGAUCAAUCAAUUUCGAAACGUUAACCACUAACACCAGAAAGAAGCAUAGUUAAUGAAACAUUUUGUAUUAUGGCUAAAUAAAAUUACAAUAAAUAUUCAAGUUCUGGUUAAAAAUCUUUUCUUUUUGUAACAUCGGGUUACAAAUUCAAAAACCCAAAAAAAAAAAACAAAUGAUCAAAAUUUUAUGGUCUCUGUUACACAUGAGCUCUACAUCAGGCUCUUGUCUUCUUGUGGGAUAUGGAAUAUUGCUUAUCGUCGCCUCUCUUUCUCGCAGAUUUAUCAAAACCACUUUGCUUUACCUUGUAAUCAGAAGAUUUGGUAGUCUCUAUACUGAUGAAGUGAUGAUCCUCCACUUGAAGAAAUCUUAGACUUUUCCAAAGCAUCAGCUUCUUUGCCACCAAUAGCAAAUUGUUCAAGCAGCUCAGGAUGAAACUCUAUCUGCGCUAAAUUUGUUUUGCUGCUUCCCUGAGAUCUUCGUUUACUGAUACAUUAUGAGAACUUACUUCUUCCAACCGAGGGAAGGUGGAUUCAACCGCUGUUGAGGUCUUCAGGAACAGCUACUGCACCUCAUAGACAAGAUUGAUUUUCUUCUUUGUGGUUCUUGCAUAUUGGAUUCAUUCAUGGCUUCAAACGCUUUUUAAAUAGAUGGUGAGUAGGGAAUGUAUUUAGGUUGAUGGAGAUGGAUCUGCUGAUUCAUGGAAGACAAUUCGAAUGUACACAAACUUAUGACAGAUCUUUUUGAUUCAUAUGAAUUAGUUACAAUAUCAUAAUUAUACAUAA